rnacentral:rRNA from 1 species
AUACGGGGGGAGCAAGCGUUGUCCGGAAUCACUGGGCGUAAAGAGUGUGUAGGCGGGAGGGCAAGUCAGAGGUGAAAUGUCGGGGCUUAACUCCGAACCUGCCUUUGAAACUGCCCUUCUUGAGUGUGGUAGAGGGAAGCGGAAUUCCAGGUGUAGCGGUGGAAUGCGUAGAUAUCUGGAAGAACACCGGUGGCGAAGGCGGCUUCCUGGCCCAUCACUGACGCUGAGACGCGAAAGCGUGGGUAGCAAACAGGAUUAGAUACCCUGGUAGUCCACGCCCUAAACGAUGGAUACUAGGUGUUGGGAGAUUCGACCCUCUCAGUGCCGCAGCUAACGCAUUAAGUAUCCCGCCUGGGGAGUACGAUCGCAAGGUUGAA